rnacentral:lncRNA from 1 species
AGGCGGCGCUGGCUGCCUGCCGGCGCCCAAACCCUCUCUCCUCCCCACUCCUUAACCACCGGCCCAGCCAGUAUCGCCCAUCCCAAGCCCUGCGAGGAACCAGUUGGGAACCGGUCCUGUAAUGAGGCGCUCUGGGUGCAGGGCCCGGCUGGGGUGGCUUUAAAAGGGAGCGCCGGGACGCGGGCCCGGCUCCGGCUCUCGGCGAUGUGGGGCAGCUCCCGCGCCGGCUGGAAGAGGAGGUUCAGCUGCUAUGGUCCCUGCGAGUCGGCCGAGAGCUGCAUCGUGCGCACCUCCGCCAGCGUCUACCGCCGGCUGCAGGAGAGCCCGCGGCAGCCCCGGCGGGGAAUGAGCACCCGCGGGCCCCCCAGCAGCCCCCCGGCCGCAGGGAGACCCCCCAGGUCCGAAUCCGAGGAUUCCGGCGUGGAGACGGCCAGCACCGAGCACUCGCCCCGCAGCCCGCUGGGCUCCGAGAGCCGCUUCUCCCUGGAUGGUUUCCCGUUGGAGCAGCCCCCCGGAGAUGAGGAGCAGCCCCCCAAGAGCCGCCCGGCCAGCCGGAGGCUGCUGCAGGCAGCGCAGCGGAGCCGGAGGCAGCGCUGCCCGCGACAGCUCAGCCGGCGCAGCGCCAGCGCCGCCGACCUGGCCGAGCCCCCCCGGGACCCCGAGAGGGCCGAGGGGUCUCCUCGGGACCCCCGGGCCGUGCCCGAGCUGCCGGGGCAGGGGCUGCGCUACCUGGAGCACGUGUGCCAGAUGCUGGAGCGCCUGGCGCGGCUGCAGCAGGACAACCGCGCCCUGCGGCAGCAGGCGGCCGGAGCCCGCACGGCCACCCUGCCCGGCCGGCAGCACCCGAGGAGGGAUUUGGGCACCUGGAGGGGUGAAGGGUUCCGGCAGCGCUCCUGCUCCGACAGCCAGGCGCCAGCAGCCGAGCCCGGGCCGUGCCGGCGGCUCUGGGGACACUCGGUCAGCUCCCCCAGCCUGCUGGAGCCCGCCGAGGGCGGCGCGGCUGGCCCGGCACCGGACAAGGACGGCCGCUCGCACUGGGGCCGGGUGAAGGUGCUGCUCACCCGCCUGACCCGCCGCUCCCUGCGCGGCAGCCGCUGCAGGUAGGACCGAGGGGUCCCGCUCGCUCCCACCGCCACACCUGGAUGGAGGAACUACGUCACACCUCACCCCAUGACGUCACGCCAGCACGGGGCCGGUCCCCGGCCUGGCGCGCCCCUUCACGUUUUUUGUUUUUCCCUCAAUAAAGUAUUUUCACCCACAAACA